UGGAGUGGUUUAAAGUGAAGAAAAAUAGGCCAGUGAAAGAUUGCAAAUAAAUGCAGACUUGGGAACUAAAGAUGCCAUUUCAUGAGUGGAAUAUUUGUGUGUGUGUGUGUGUGUGUGUGUGUGUGUGUUAGCUAAAGGUUUUGGCAUUUCCUUCCAA